rnacentral:rRNA from 1 species
CCUACGGGAGGCAGCAGUAAGGAAUAUUGGACAAUGGUGGCAACACUGAUCCAGCCAUGCCGCGUGAAGGAUGAAGGACCUAUGGUUUGUAAACUUCUUUUGUAUGGGAAAAAACCUCUUUACGUGUAAAGAGCUGAUGGUACCAUAAGAAUAAGGGUCGGCUAACUUCGUGCCAGCAGCCGCGGUAAUACGAAGGACCCGAGCGUUAUCCGGAUUCAUUGGGUUUAAAGGGUGCGUAGGUGGAAUAAUAAGUCAGUGGUGAAAUCCUGCAGCUUAACUGCAGAACUGCCAUUGAUACUGUUGUUCUUGAGUACAUUUGAUGUGGGCGGAAUAUGACAUGUAGCGGUGAAAUGCUUAGAUAUGUCAUAGAACACCGAUUGCGAAGGCAGCUCACAAAACUGUUACUGACACUGAGGCACGAAAGCGUGGGGAGCAAACAGGAUUAGAUACCCUGGUAGUCCACGCCGUAAACGUUGAUCACUAGAUGUUGGCGAUACACUGUCNGCGUCCACGACGAACGACGAGUAAGUAGAUCCGACCGUACGGGGUAGGUACGAGUCGCGACGAGUUAGUAAACGUUAAACGGUAAAGUUAGUACGGACGUUGAGACGAGCGACGGACGACGACGAGGGAGGUAGG